rnacentral:misc_RNA from 1 species
GAAAUGCGAUAAGUAGUGUGAAUUGCAGAAUUCAGUGAAUCAUCGAAUCUUUGAACGCACAUUGCGCCCUUUGGUAUUCCUUAGGGCAUGCCUGUUCGAGCGUCAUUUGUAACCUCAAGCUCAGCUUGGUGUUGGGUGUCUGUCCCCGCCCCGCGCGGGGACUCGCCUCAAAAACAUUGGCGGCCGGUACGUUGGCUUCGAGCGCAGCAGAAACGCGAACUCGAGGCCCGACGGUUCGGCGACCAGAAGUCACUUCUUCCACAGCUUGACCUCGGAUCAGGUAGGGAUACCCGCUGAACUUAAGC